rnacentral:rRNA from 1 species
ACGUCAGAACUGUUUCGGUCUUCCAUCAGGGUUUCCCCUGACUUCAACCUGAUCAAGUAUAGUUCACCAUCUUUCGGGUCACAGCAUAUUUGCUCAAGGUACGUUCCAGUUAGAGGUAUAAAUAAUAUAAAUAUCAUCAUACAUAACUAUAUAGAACGCCCCGGGAUUGUGUUAAUUAACUAUAAAUAGCUAAAAAACUAAUCCCAUUAUUAGUCAAGUUAAUUACGCUAUUAGGUUU